rnacentral:lncRNA from 1 species
CGCACGCGCGCGCCGGAGGCGCGAAGCCGCCUGAGGGAAGCGGCCCUCAGCCCCUGCGCCCGUCCGCCUGGCGAGGGAACGCGGAUGAUCUCUGGAAUCUCAGCGCUUGUUUCGGCUUUUUUGUUGGAGAGGCUUUAGCUCACGUGUACGUGGCUGAUGCACUGGGACACUCAGCAGCCUCUUUCUCCUCCCAGGCUCUGCACUGCACACUGACAGAAUACAUCCUGAAGCUGGCACAUGGCCAAUACUUUAAGAUGAUGAAAAUUAACUUAAACUAGCAGAUUCCUCCCAUUAACUUAUUCUGAACACUGUAUUCAAGGGGUAAAAGUGUCUGCAAAAAAAACCCAGAACAAACAAACAAAAAAACCCAGCCACAAGGAGGACUGCUUCAAUACUUAUAACAGGAAUUGUUUCUGUAUUACAAGGUGCAGGCAUGCUGUAAAAUCUGAGUGUAGAGACUAUGGAAAGAAGGGCUGCCUGUGUCCUGCCUGCACUGCACUUAGCUGUGGAAGACAAAACUCGCUCUGCUGGGCAGCAGGGAAAGGAUUCUGA